GAGACGAGUCGGUGGGCACAUGUCAAUGUCACUCUUGGCCGCUCCUUCCGCCGACUGAGCCUCACAUGCGCCGACGGAUUUCUUCUCUGAUUCCUUAGGUUUAGGGCUGAGACCGGAAUUUGAAUCACCGGCAUCUUUUUCGGUCGGAGAAUCUCCAUCCGUCGAGCCUGACUCCUUCUUUUCAGAAUCCUUAGGAA